UGGGCUUUCAGAGCUAGGCUUUAGAAAGAAGAAAUGCUCAAGGCACAGUGGCAUACCUACAUAAGGUCCAACAAGAGCGGGUCAUGGCAGGUGCAUAUGGGAAGAGGUUGCCAUCUUCCAUUGCUUCCAGUGAUUUUCCUAUACUUGGCACCACAAUCGUCACACCACCCAAAUGGAGAAUCAAGCUUUCCAGCUACUCCCAAAAGGAGUCCUGAGAUAGUGCUGAUAUACACUGGAGGUCUCUUCACUGGGCAGAGCUCUUGAGAAAAACCAUAAAAAGUAUAGCCAGGUCCCUAUACAUGGAUUAAGAUGCUCA
rnacentral:lncRNA from 1 species